UAUAUGCUGCAGCAAGGGCACGUUUAUCAGUAGAAAUUGUUUCAGCUUGCUCCAUAUUAGUACUCGAGUGAGAUUCUUUUGUAGCAGUUGCAGCAGAAUAUACAUUAGAUGAGCCAUAAGCAUCUGAAUUUUUCUGCGCCAAGUCUAAUGAUCUCGUAAUUGGAGGAA